CUAAUGCUAAAGCUAAGUGUGCUAAAGAUGUUCAAAGUUAGCUGUGCUAUUAGCGCAUUAGCAGAAGUGUGCCCAUCACUGGACUUGACUAAAGUAUUUACUGCGUUAUGAUUGAAUCCUUGGUUGGCAUUUAUUAUUGGAAUCUCCAGAAUCCUAGAUUUCUAAAUAAGAUUGCUGCAACAAAAAGAACACAGGAUGUUGCUACGUCCCGCCUGCGGGACACAGCAGCGCUAAUGAGUUAAUCACUAACUGAACAGGUACAGAUGUGGGACAUAAACCAGGGAACAGCAGCUUCUGUCCAAACAAAGUUUGACCAACCUUUGAAAAGCCAACUGCUCUGUUGAUGUUUGGCCCUGAUGUAACAUCGUCUGCUGCUCAGCGUCGUCAGAGGGAAGCUGUAUCUGUUCGGAGGAUCCUCCAGUCCUGAAGCCUCUGAAUGCCUCCCAGGCGUCUUCAGCUUCGACGUCGUGUCUUUGGCCUGGGAAUGCCUGUCAGCCGGCGGCGUGGCUCCCAGGGUUCUCCAUUACGGCUCUGCUGCUGCUGGAGACAACAUCUACGUGUACGGAGGGCAGCUGGAGGGCGAGCCAACCGACGACCUCCUGGUCUUCAACACAGUGUCCGUCACCUGGACUCCGGUUAAAACCAGCGGAUCGCUUCCUCCUGCCCUAUGGGGGCAGCGUUUCGCUCAGGCUGGAGAUCAGCUCUUCAUGUUUGGAGGUCACGGAGCAGGAGGAACGUUUUGUCAGGACCUUUACGCUCUGAACACAGAGAAGCUGCAGUGGCAGAAAUGGGAGGUGAAGGGAGAAUCUCCU